ensembl:lncRNA
CUUCUCCAGAGAAGAAGACUCCACAACCUCUCUUGGCAGCCUGUUCCAGUGCUCUGUCAUGUUCACAGUAAAGAAGGUUUUCCUUGCAUUCAAGUACAACUUCCUGUGAUCCAGUUUGUGCCCAUUGUCCUUUAUUCUGCCACUGGGAACUGUUGAAAAGAGCCUGUCCCCAUCUAUUUGGUAGAUCCUGGUAGCUACUGACCUAUCAGUCUCACCUCGGUGCCCAGGAAGGUUAUGGUAUAGAUAAUCUUGGGAGCCAUCAAGGACCAGUUAAAGGUCAACCAGGGGAUCAGACCAGUCAGCAUCGGAUUACAAAUGGUAGAUCCUGUCUGACAAACCUGAUUUCAUUCUAUGACAAGGUGACCCACUCAGUGAUUGGAGGUAAGGCUGUCGAUGUGGUCUACCUGGACUUCAGUAAAGCCCUUGACACUGUCCCCCAAAACAUUCUUGCGGAGAAGCUGGCUGCCCAUGGUUUGGAUGGGCGUAUGCUCCUCUGGGUGUAACACUGGCUGGAUGGCUGGGCCCAUAGAGUUGUGAUAAAUGGAGUUAAAUCCAGUUGGCGGCCAGUCACUACUGGUGUCCCACGGGGCUCGGAAAUGGGGCCGCUUCUAUUUAACGUCUUUAUUAAUGAUUUUGGAGAGGGGCUGUUUAGUCUGGGGAAAAGGAGGCUGAGGGGAGACCUUAUUGCUUUCUUCCAAUAUCUGAAAGGUGCUUACAGCGAAAGCGGGGUUGGUCUCUUCUCACUGGUGACAGGUGACAGGACAAGGGGAAAUGGCCUCAAGUUGUGCCAGGGUAAGUUUAGGUUGGAUAUCAGGAAAAACUUCUUUAUAGAAAGGGUAGUUAAGCACUGGAAUAGGCUCCCCAGGGAGGUGGUUGAGUCACUAUCCCUGGACGUGUUUAAUAACCAUUUGGAUGUGGUGCUCAGGGACAUGAUUUAGCGGAGGGUUGUUAGACUUAGGGUAGUAUGGUUAGGUUGUGGUUGGACUCAAUGAUCUUUAAGGUCUUUUCUAACCUGAGCAAUUCUGUGAAUCUCUGAUUCUACGAUUAUAUUCUUCUUUUCUUCAUGAAAGUUUACUGCAGUAGAAUUCCUUUUAUCUACACUGUUCUCUUCUGAGAUAAUAUAUAACAGAACAAGGAAAAAAUCAAAAUACUUCUCACUCUUACAUCAGCAGUUCUUCACAUUCUGCACAAAUGUAUUUGUGCCCAGACACUGUAGUGAUGUGCACAUCGCAAACAUCCAGAGAUUGUUCCCAAGAUGGAGAGUAUCUGUGCACAACUGUAGCAUAUGAUAGCAAGAUUCACUGGCUGAAUAUAGGUAGCACAAACAAUGAUAACAAUGCAAAUGCAAUGGCACAGGCUUUGUCCAGGCUUGGCCAUGACUCCCAGCAUGUAUCCUGGGGCUCUUUGGAGUACCUCCUCUGGAUGCCAGUCCAUUUCUGCACAUGCUGUUUAGCUAACAAAGA